rnacentral:lncRNA from 1 species
AGCUUGUCAUAACCUGUCAUAAUAUGGUCAUAGCACUGUCAUGACCCAUAUAUUUACACCUGUUGUGACAUAUAUUGCGUAAUUUUAUGGCUGGUUAUGACACCUACGUAAGAGUGUCAAAACCCACAUUCAUUCAAAUGUGUUUUUACCCUGAAAAUAAGUUUCCUUUCAUUUGAAAGUUUGUUUCUUAAAUCCUUUGUUAUGGUUGUAGUAAUGAAUUCUCUUUACAGUCAUGUUCUCAUCAUAUUUUAAAUAACUUGCAGAAAAUUCACUUUAUGACACUGUCAUGAAGCAUUAUGACCAUCAUACUCACAUUAGCCAGAUGGGCCUAUCACGUACAGUACAUGCCCUUAUGUCAGUCACCAGUCAAAAAGAGGGUGUCUUGUCCUGCUCCUGAAAUCUGCUCCUGCAUUCAUCCCAGUCAUCAGCAAUAGAGCAUUGUGUUAGGUGCCUGUCUGACAUCAAUUUGUGCGCAAUUACAAUGAUCAUUUAAUAUGCUCAAUUUGUGAAAAUGUUAUAUAACAUAAACAUAGUAUUGACAAGUAAGCUAUGGUGUAAUGGAAUUGUUUGCCUAAUGGGUUUUGACACUCUUAUGUAGCUGUCAUAAUCAACCAUUAAAUAAUGCAAUUCAUGUCACAACAGGUCUAAAUAUUUGUGUCAUGACAGUGUUAUGACCGUAUUAUGACAGGUUAUGACAAGUUGUGUCAGCUGUUAUGACAUGUAAUGACAUGGCUAUGACAGUGUCGUAAAGUGUUAUGACGCUGGGCAUCAAGUAAAGUGUUACCAUUAUUUUCAAGUGAGUAGAAAAUUAAAAACUUUAGUGACAAUGUCAUUUUGAAGCUCACCAAAAGCCCUGCUCUUUGAAUGUUUCAUUCCGAAACAACUACAUCUGCCCUGGCAACCAUUUGGAUCUGUCGUGGGUCUACUGUAGACAGUUUACAAGGUCUAGAAAGGCACAUUAGCAGGCCAGUCUGGGUGUAUUUUGACUUCUGAUACUGAGAUGUGAAGUCUCCAGUAUUAUAGCUUACCGCACGCUCUCCCUCCUCUACCCUCCGAGUGCUAUUCCUCCCACACCUAGAACCUAAUGCUUUAAUAGCCUAAAUGUUUAUCAUCAAGUUGAUUUAAUGAAUUAGGCCUACCUUUUGGCAACCAAUAAUGAUAACUUCCUAAUGAUGAUCAAAUUAUUGGGUACAGUAGGCAUAUAAUAAGGCCAACUAUAAACUAGGGAGGGAUGCAUUUUCAAUUUGUCAAGAUUGACAUUAGCUUAUUUGAAUGUUGAAAACGCAAACCAUGAUAUUGAAGCACUCGAAGUUGGUAAUCUGAAUGCUUAUUGGUUAUGUGGUGCAUUGGCAUAAAACAUUGUGUCCCCCGCCUUUGAACAAAAUGCCCUACUGCUGAUCUUUGUCUGGCGCGGGCUCUAGGCUGAGCGUAAGAGGUGCAGUACUUACGAAUGACGGGGGGGGGGUUGCCUGUGGUGGAGAGCCUUCAAGGUCCCACACCCCUAUCAGCCUGAUAAUCAUGCAUGUGGAGCGUUUGUGUGCACAAUAGGUGGACAUGAGCAUUCUCCUGUAUAUAGUUGCUGUCCUGCAUUUUCUUCUGUCAGAUUUAAGAUUUUUCUUAUUUUCAGUUUGGGGAAGAAACUUGCUUUCUCCUAUGGAAAUGAAAAACACCUAGAACAAAUGCGCCGUGCAAUAGCUCUGUACUUGAUGAGCGAAUCAGGUGUCGCCCGCUCCAGGUGUCGCCCAUCUUCCCCAUUAUCCCCUGUGUAUUUGUACCUGUGUUCUCUGUUUGUCAUUGCCAGUUUUUUUUGUUUCGUCAAGCCUACCAGUGUUUUUCCCUCUGCUCCUGUCUCUCGAUUGUUCCUGUUUCCUAGUUUUCCCAGUGUUGACCAUUCUGCCUGCCCUGACCCUGAGCCUGCCUGCCGUCCUGUACCUUUGCCCCACCUUUCUGGAUUACUGACCUUUGCCUGCCCUGACCCUGAGCCUACCUGCCGUGCUGUACCUUUGCCCCACCUAUCUGGAUUACCGACCUCUGCUUGUCCUUGACCUGCUUUUUACCUGCCCCUGUUUGAUUAAUAAACUGUUGCUACUUCAACGUUGUCUGCAUCUGGGUCAUACCUGAAAGGGGAUACAUACAGUUCCAGUCAAAAGUUUGGACACACUGUCACGUCCUGACCUGAGAGAGACAUUUUAUUUCCUCUAUUUUGGUUAGGUCAGGGUGUGAUGUGGGGUGGGCAUUCAAUGUGAUGUAUUUCUUUGUGUUUGGCUGAGUAUGGUUCCUAAUCAGAGGCAGCUGUCUAUCAUUGUCUCUGAUUAGGAAUCUUACUUAGGCAGCCUUUUCCCCACCUGUAGUUGUGGGUAAUUAUUAUUUCUGUGAGUGUUUUGUGUGCACCACAGUUGCGUCACGUUUCUUUCUGUUUACCUGUUUAUUGUUUUG